CAGAUUGAACGCUGGCGGCAGGCCUAACACAUGCAAGUCGAACGGUAACAGGAAGCAGCUUGCUUCUUUGCUGACGAGUGGCGGACGGGUGAGUAAUGUCUGGGAAACUGCCUGAUGGAGGGGGAUAACUACUGGAAACGGUAGCUAAUACCGCAUAACGUCGCAAGACCAAAGAGGGGGACCUUCGGGCCUCUUGCCAUCGGAUGUGCCCAGAUGGGAUUAGCUUGUUGGUGGGGUAACGGCUCACCAAGGCGACGAUCCCUAGCUGGUCUGAGAGGAUGACCAGCCACACUGGAACUGAGACACGGUCCAGACUCCUACGGGAGGCAGCAGUGGGGAAUAUUGCACAAUGGGCGCAAGCCUGAUGCAGCCAUGCCGCGUGUAUGAAGAAGGCCUUCGGGUUGUAAAGUACUUUCAGCGGGGAGGAAGGGAGUAAAGUUAAUACCUUUGCUCAUUGACGUUACCCGCAGAAGAAGCACCGGCUAACUCCGUGCCAGCAGCCGCGGUAAUACGGAGGGUGCAAGCGUUAAUCGGAAUUACUGGGCGUAAAGCGCACGCAGGCGGUUUGUUAAGUCAGAUGUGAAAUCCCCGGGCUCAACCUGGGAACUGCAUCUGAUACUGGCAAGCUUGAGUCUCGUAGAGGGGGGUAGAAUUCCAGGUGUAGCGGUGAAAUGCGUAGAGAUCUGGAGGAAUACCGGUGGCGAAGGCGGCCCCCUGGACGAAGACUGACGCUCAGGUGCGAAAGCGUGGGGAGCAAACAGGAUUAGAUACCCUGGUAGUCCACGCCGUAAACGAUGUCGACUUGGAGGUUGUGCCCUUGAGGCGUGGCUUCCGGAGCUAACGCGUUAAGUCGACCGCCUGGGGAGUACGGCCGCAAGGUUAAAACUCAAAUGAAUUGACGGGGGCCCGCACAAGCGGUGGAGCAUGUGGUUUAAUUCGAUGCAACGCGAAGAACCUUACCUGGUCUUGACAUCCACGGAAGUUUUCAGAGAUGAGAAUGUGCCUUCGGGAACCGUGAGACAGGUGCUGCAUGGCUGUCGUCAGCUCGUGUUGUGAAAUGUUGGGUUAAGUCCCGCAACGAGCGCAACCCUUAUCCUUUGUUGCCAGCGGUCCGGCCGGGAACUCAAAGGAGACUGCCAGUGAUAAACUGGAGGAAGGUGGGGAUGACGUCAAGUCAUCAUGGCCCUUACGACCAGGGCUACACACGUGCUACAAUGGCGCAUACAAAGAGAAGCGACCUCGCGAGAGCAAGCGGACCUCAUAAAGUGCGUCGUAGUCCGGAUUGGAGUCUGCAACUCGACUCCAUGAAGUCGGAAUCGCUAGUAAUCGUGGAUCAGAAUGCCACGGUGAAUACGUUCCCGGGCCUUGUACACACCGCCCGUCACACCAUGGGAGUGGGUUGCAAAAGAAGUAGGUAGCUUAACCUUCGGGAGGGCGCUUACCACUUUGUGAUUCAUGACUGGGGUGAAGUCGUAACAAGGUAACCGUAGGGGAACCUGCGGAUGGAACACCUCCU
rnacentral:rRNA from 1 species